rnacentral:tRNA from 1 species
GGGCCCAUGGUCUAGUGGCUAUGACGUCGCAUUCACAUUGCGAAGUUCGGGAGUUCGAAUCUCUCUGGGCCCA